UGUGCAGCUGAUUGGAGUCAGUUUGGAGUUCUGUUAAGGAGGAAGAUUUCAAAGUGCACCUCAUGACUUCUUUUCUUUAAUCAAGAGACCAUGGAGACACCCCCAGAACCUCAUGGAACCAAGGAGCCCAUGGUGACCCAGCGGGGCUGCAUGGAGCCAAUGGCCCAUGGUGACACUGCCCAUCCAAGGAGGCCAUUUGGACACUGCAGAAGCUCAUGGAGCCAGGUGUUUUUAAGGGAUGAAGAUAGAUCAGAAGAAUAU